rnacentral:rRNA from 1 species
CACGUAGUUAGCCGUGGCUUUCUGGUUAGAUACCGUCAAGGGAUGAACAUUUUACUCUCAUCCUUGUUCUUCUCUAACAACAGAGUUUUACGAUCCGAAAACCUUCUUCACUCACGCGGCGUUGCUCGGUCAGACUUUCGUCCAUUGCCGAAGAUUCCCCUACUGCCGCCUCCCGUAGGAGUCUGGGCCGUGUCUCAGUCCCAGUGUGGCCGAUCACCCUCUCAGGUCGGCUAUGCAUCGUUGCCUUGGUGAGCCGUUACCUCACCAACUAGCUAAUGCACCGCGGGUCCAUCCAUCAGUGACGCAAAAGCGCCUUUCAACUUUCUUCCAUGACGGAAAUAGUGUUAUACGGUAUUAGCACCUGUUCCAAGUGUUACUCCCUUCUGAUGGGCUAGGUUACCCACGUUGUUACUCACCCGUUCGCCUACCUUCUUUUCCUUUCGGGU